rnacentral:rRNA from 1 species
GACGAACGCUGGCGGCGUGCUUAACACAUGCAAGUCGAACGGAAAGGCCCUGCUCUUGUGGCGCUCUCGAGAGGCGAACGGGUGAGUAAAACGUGUGUAAACCGUCCUUGACUUUGGGAUAACUUCAGGAAAAUGGGGCUCAUACCGGAUAGGAGAUCCUGAUGCAUGGUGGGGGUUGGAAAGUUUCGGCGGUUGGGGAUGGUAUCGCGGGUUAUCAGCUGGUUGGUGGGGUAGUGGCUUACCAAGGUUUUGACGGGUAGCCGGCCUGGGAGAGUGGCCAGCGACAUUGGGACUGAGAUACGGACCAGACGCCUACGGUAGGCAACAGUGGAAAAUAUUGCGCAAUGGGCGGAAGCCUGAUGCAGCAACGCCGCGUGCGGGAUGACGGCCUUCGGGUUAUAAACCGCUUUCGCCUGUGACGAAGCGUGAGUGACGGUAAUGGGUAAAAAAGCACCGGCUAACUACGUG